CAUGAGUGGCGGACGGGUGAGUAACGCGUGGGCAACCUGGCCUGUACAGGGGGAUAACACUUAGAAAUAGGUGCUAAUACCGCAUAACGGGGGAAGCCGCAUGGCCUUUCCCUGAAAACUCCGGUGGUACAGGAUGGGCCCGCGUCUGAUUAGCCAGUUGGCAGGGUAACGGCCUACCAAAGCGACGAUCAGUAGCCGGCCUGAGAGGGCGGACGGCCACACUGGGACUGAGACACGGCCCAGACUCCUACGGGAGGCAGCAG
rnacentral:rRNA from 1 species